UUACACAUAAAUCCUCUUCGUGCUGUUGUACAACUACGACCAUCACUGCAACAUCUCGAUUCUAAGAAGUCUAAACAUAAGUCAGAGAAGCUGUUGCGGUUUUGCAUAGUGACAGACAGACACAACCUAAAACCCAAACCACCGGCGAAUGCACUCUCUCCACAACCGCUAAACCCUAACAAUGGCUUCCUUCCUCGCCCUCCGCCGCGCCCGCCACCUCUGCACCGCCGCCGCCAGUCCCCUAACCAUUUCUCAAUUCAAAAAGAAGCUCAAAACCGUAUCCGACCCCGACGAGUGCCUCAAAAUCUACACCUCUCUCACCGCCGCAUUCGACCCCUCCACAUCGCCGACCUCCGCGCGCUACGCCUUGGAGCUCACCGUCCGCCGCCUCGCCAAGGCGCACCGCUUCUCCGACAUAAAAAACCUGCUCGAGUCGCACAAAUCCCUCCCGCAAAUCAAGGACGAGCCCUUCCUCUCCUCCGUUAUCCGCUCCUACGGCGUCGCCGGUUUGCUGGAGAAAGCCGUCGACACCUACACCGGAAUGAUCCGCCUCUCCGCUGCUGCUCCGUCGUCUCUCUCCUUCAACUCACUCCUCACCGCCUGCGUUAAUUGCAGAGCCUUCGAUCGCGUUCCCGCCUACUUCGACGAAUUCCCCCAAAAAUUAGGGUUCCAGCCGGACCAAUUCUCGUUCGGAAUCCUAAUCAAAGCCUACUGCGAGAUGAAUUCGCCGGAGAAGGCGACGGAGAAGCUGAACGAGAUGGAUAAAUUAGGGCUCGGAAUCAGCACAAUUUCGUUCACCACAAUCCUCCACUCCAUGUACAAAAAUGGCAGAAUCGACGAGGCCGAGCAGUUCUGGGAUGAGAUGGUAACCAAAAGAGGCUGCGUUCCCGACGAAGGAUCGUACAACGUGAGGCUCAGCUGCAUCCACAGUGGCAAGCCGGAGGCGGUCACAGCGGUGGUUGAAGAAAUGGCCACGGCAGGGAUAAAGCCCGACGCGAUAACCUUCAACUACUUGAUGACUUGCUAUUGCCUGAAUGGAAUGAUGGAUGAAGCCAUGAACGUCUACCAGACAAUGGUGAAGACGAAAGGGUGCUAUCCGAAUUCGAUGACGUACAGGACAUUGGUGUUCUAUCUGUGCAAGAAGGAGCGUUAUGUGUCUGCUUAUAAGGUGUUUAAGCACAGUGUGAAGUUCAAUCGGAUUCCGAAUUUGGAAACUUUGAAGAAUCUGUUGGAGGGGUUGGUGAAGGUGGAUCGAUUGGUCGAGGCGAAAAGUAUGAUUAGGACGUUGAACAAGAAGUUUCAUCCCGAAUUGUUGGAGGCGUGGAGGAAAGUUGCGGAGGAUGUUGGAUUGGAUGGAGUUGGUGUUGAAGGGGUGGGAUCAUCGGAGGAGGAAGCUGAUGAUGACGAUGGUGAAGCUGUAAAGGGUAGUAGAUGAGGUGGUUCUUUCUGCAAGUUUUAUGAUCUAAUGGGAGCUUAAUUGCUCCCAUGGCGAUUGAAGGUUUCUAUAGGCUGUUUCUUCGGGCACAACGACGAAAUGUGACCUUUUUCCCCGCAUUCAUAGCACGUGCGCCUCCUUAUUUUCGAGCUCACAGCAGGUGUCUCGGCGUGGCUUUCUUGCACAUUACUCUUUGGCAUCACAUUAGCA